rnacentral:lncRNA from 1 species
CUCGGGGAGGCGAUCGGAGGCUCAGAGAAGCUAUGAUGACUGCCUAUACGAGAUGCACCUAAAGAGUCUAGAGAGAGAUCGAUGGAGGUGAUGCAUUUCUAUUCUUAUUGUUAUAGUUAUAAGGCAAGCUUGGAUAGUCUGUUACAUCGCAGACAACCGCUUCUAGCCACCUCAUGGUUAAAGGUGGAGAAGAACUUGCAAUGUCUUAUUUUUCAAUGGCAGAUCUAAGCCUUCUUCUUUUUCAAUUACAAUAAGUUUUUAAUUUCAAUUAACUUAGUCACAAACCAU